GAAAUAAAUACGAAGUCAAAGACCACGACUCUACCACACAAACUUCUCUAUCUUCUCUAGUAGUCUGAUACCAAACCUGCGAAACAAAUACUCCAAUCUCUCAGACCUCUUGUUCUUUGUUUGGUUAAUAUUACCGACCUCUUGCUAUUUGUUUCCCAAACCUCUCAAUUUUUCUAAGCUCCUCUUUUCCUAGAUCCCUAUUUCUUAUUCUUGCAAGUUUAAGAUUUGGAGGCCAUUAGAUGAUGUCAAAGCCACUGCAAGGUGUUGCAUGAGCUUCUCUUCUCUUGUUCUCAAAAUCUGGCUUGGUUUUUGAAGCGUUAGCAAAUCAAAAGCAACACGAAGACUCUAUUGCAUCAGUAUUAUGAUCUAUAAGAGCAGGGUAGUUCCUAGUGUUGCAUCGAGUUUGCCUAGUUAUGGAGUCCCUACCCCUUUGGGAACCACAUCUGCAUCUAUAACAAUUCCUAGAGUGCAAAAUUUUUUCAUGUAAAGCUUGAAAAAGGCUAGGGUAUCAUCUAGUUCUUGCACUAAUUCUUCUGAUUUACAAUUUUAUCUUGAUUUAGCAACAAUAAAGGUGGACGAUGAUAGUCAUUUUAGUGUUUUAGGAUGGUGGAAGACCAAUCAAACAUUAUACCCUGUUCUUUCACUUAUGGCCCGUGAUCUACUAAGUGUACCAGCUUCAACAGUUGCAUCAGAGGCUGCUUUUAGCGUUGGUGGUCGAGUUGUUUCAGAGAAAGGAGCUGCCUUAAGUCCAAAUACCAUAGAAGCUUUAGUUUGUUUGAAGGAUUGGAGCUUGGCAAGUAGAAGAAUGCAAGAUGCAGCACAAGAAGAGGAACACGCUGAAGAACUAAUGAACAUAAGGGCAGCAAGACCAGAUCGGAUGGUUGAAAGUGAAGAUGAUGGUGAAGAUGAUAAUGAAGGCGAACCUGAAAAUGAAACUGAAAGUGCAACCCUUGGAGACUAAAAAUUGGAGAUUUCCAUAUGCCUUUUUUGUGAAACUGAAAGGGAAACUGAAAGUCAAAAAUUAUCUCCCCUUUCCUUUUUUUUGGUUUAGGAGUAACCAUAUGCCUUUUUUUGUGUUUAGGAUUAUAAGGCUAGUCUGGUUACAAUCUGCUACAUAUUAAUUUAUGCUUUAUCAUCCAUUGCUGGGAUCAUUUAUCUUCAAAUUAUUUUGAGACUUUAAAUGCCUAACCAGUACAUGUAGUAGUUAUGUAGUUGGUGUUGUUGGAGAAUGGAGACUAAUAGAUUCAAUAUUUUACUCAAGUGUUUACUUUAGACUUUUAGAGGCUGUUUUGGUUUUCUAUGUGUAUAAAAAAGUCUGACAUCGAUGCUAUUCUUCUUGUUUUAUGCAGUACUUAAACAGUUCGUUUCCAGAUUUGUAGCUGCUGAUAUCAUUGCAGCAUUAGUGUGGAUACUUCAGUCUAACAAGGGAUCCAUGUUGAGCACGGCAGCAAAUGUGACAGUAAAAUUAGUUAGCCUUUUACCCAAAUCAAUACUGCAGCUGGAUGUUUUAGAUCUUAUUAAUCCUUUAUCAUCUUUGUUAUCUGCCCACAAACAGAAGUUGCUAUAUCAUGUGCUGCAGCAUUGAAUCUUAUCCUUACAAAUCUCAGUAUGAAGAGUGCAAAAGAAGUUUGGGACGUCCUUGAGAAAACAGAAAGUGUAUCUCAAGUUACCAGUAACUUGCGAUCUUUUUCAGAAUGUAUGAAGCCAUUUGAACAUUUUCAA